AGAGUUUGAUCCUGGCUCAGGAUGAACGCUGGCGGCGUGCCUAAUACAUGCAAGUCGAACGAGUUCUCGUUGAUGAUCGGUGCUUGCACCGAGAUUCAACAUGGAACGAGUGGCGGACGGGUGAGUAACACGUGGGUAACCUGCCCUUAAGUGGGGGAUAACAUUUGGAAACAGAUGCUAAUACCGCAUAGAUCCAAGAACCGCAUGGUUCUUGGCUGAAAGAUGGCGUAAGCUAUCGCUUUUGGAUGGACCCGCGGCGUAUUAGCUAGUUGGUGAGGUAAUGGCUCACCAAGGCGAUGAUACGUAGCCGAACUGAGAGGUUGAUCGGCCACAUUGGGACUGAGACACGGCCCAAACUCCUACGGGAGGCAGCAGUAGGGAAUCUUCCACAAUGGACGCAAGUCUGAUGGAGCAACGCCGCGUGAGUGAAGAAGGCUUUCGGGUCGUAAANCUCUGUUGUUGGAGAAGAAUGGUCGGCAGAGUAACUGUUGUCGGCGUGACGGUAUCCAACCAGAAAGCCACGGCUAACUACGUGCCAGCAGCCGCGGUAAUACGUAGGUGGCAAGCGUUAUCCGGAUUUAUUGGGCGUAAAGCGAGCGCAGGCGGUUUUUUAAGUCUGAUGUGAAAGCCCUCGGCUUAACCGAGGAAGCGCAUCGGAAACUGGGAAACUUGAGUGCAGAAGAGGACAGUGGAACUCCAUGUGUAGCGGUGAAAUGCGUAGAUAUAUGGAAGAACACCAGUGGCGAAGGCGGCUGUCUGGUCUGUAACUGACGCUGAGGCUCGAAAGCAUGGGUAGCGAACAGGAUUAGAUACCCUGGUAGUCCAUGCCGUAAACGAUGAAUGCUAGGUGUUGGAGGGUUUCCGCCCUUCA
rnacentral:rRNA from 1 species